rnacentral:rRNA from 1 species
AUUGAACGCUGGCGGCAUGCCUUACACAUGCAAGUCGAACGGCAGCACGGGAGCAAUCCUGGUGGCGAGUGGCGAACGGGUGAGUAAUAUAUCGGAACGUGCCCAGUCGUGGGGGAUAACGCAGCGAAAGCUGUGCUAAUACCGCAUACGAUCUAAGGAUGAAAGCGGGGGAUCGCAAGACCUCGCGCGAUUGGAGCGGCCGAUAUCAGAUUAGCUAGUUGGUGGGGUAAAGGCCCACCAAGGCGACGAUCUGUAGCUGGUCUGAGAGGACGACCAGCCAGACUGGAAAUGAGACACGGUCCAGACUCCUACGGGAGGCAGCAGUGGGGAAUUUUGGACAAUGGGCGCAAGCCUGAUCCAGCAAUGCCGCGUGCAGGAUGAAGGCCUUCGGGUUGUAAACUGCUUUUGUACGGAACGAAACGGCCCUUUCUAAUACAGGGGGCUAAUGACGGUACCGUAAGAAUAAGCACCGGCUAACUACGUGCCAGCAGCCGCCGUAACAC